rnacentral:lncRNA from 1 species
AUCAUGGAGACGGGAUGUAUAUAGAGGAUUGCAUGAUUAUUUGACUUUGGUUAGGCAUAGUUAGGAUAUUUAGAUUAGAAUAGGACAUUAUAGACAAUUAGAUGAACAGUUAAAUUCAUAAGUGCUCUUUAUUCAGAUGGACAGUAAUUGAUUUUUCUUAAUGAAAUGUUUAUGAUAGUUCAAUUUCAAUAUCAGCAAACCGAAUAAAAACAAAUUUUAUUUUGAAACUCUUUCGAUAUAUUUAAAUGAUUUAUUUAUAUUAAUUAAUUUCGUUAAUUUCUCAUUUGAAAAUUUCUCUCUAUUUUAAUUUGCUACUUUCAUUUUUCUGAUAAGGGGAGAUGUCACGUGUGCUUAAUCUGUAUUCUAUUUAUACUCGGUUACAGCCUCUGUUUCAUAUAUGUAUACGUCAU